GUACGCUGGCGGCACGCCUAACACAUGCAAGUUGCAACGAAGUAGCAAUACUUAGUGGCAGACGGGUGAGUAACAUGUGGGUAUCUGCCCUUUGGCCUGGAAUAACACGAGGAAACUUGUGCUAAUACCGGAUAAGUCUUUACGGGGAAAGCUUUAUGCACCAUUGGAUGAGCCUGCACUUGAUUAGUUUGUUGGUGGGGUAAUGGCCUACCAAGACUGUGAUCAAUAGCUGAUUUGAGAGGAUGAUCAGCCACAUUGGGACUGAGACACGGCCCAAACUCCUACGGGAGGCAGCAGUGGGGAAUCUUGCACAAUGGAGGAAACUCUGAUGCAGCGAUGCCGCGUGAGUGAAGAAGGCCCUUGGGUUGUAAAGCUCUUUCGUCGGGGAAGAAAAUGACUGUACCCGAAUAAGAAGGUCCGGCUAACUUCGUGCCAGCAGCCGCGGUAAUACGAAGGGACCUAGCGUAGUUCGGAAUUACUGGGCUUAAAGAGUUCGUAGGUGGUUGAAAAAGUUAGUGGUGAAAUCCCAGAGCUUAACUCUGGAACUGCCAUUAAAACUUUUCAGCUAGAGUAUGAUAGAGGAAAGCAGAAUUUCUAGUGUAGAGGUGAAAUUCGUAGAUAUUAGAAAGAAUACCAAUUGCGAAGGCAGCUUUCUGGAUCAUUACUGACACUGAGGAACGAAAGCAUGGGUAGCGAAGAGGAUUAGAUACCCUCGUAGUCCAUGCCGUAAACGAUGUGUGUUAGACGUUGGAAAUUUAUUUUCAGUGUCGCAGGGAAACCGAUAAACACACCGCCUGGG
rnacentral:rRNA from 1 species